rnacentral:rRNA from 1 species
UACGAAGGGGGCUAGCGUUGUUCGGAAUUACUGGGCGUAAAGCGCACGUAGGCGGAUAUUUAAGUCAGGGGUGAAAUCCCAGAGCUCAACUCUGGAACUGCCUUUGAUACUGGGUAUCUCGAGUAUGGAAGAGGUGAGUGGAAUUCCGAGUGUAGAGGUGAAAUUCGUAGAUAUUCGGAGGAACACCAGUGGCGAAGGCGGCUCACUGGCCCGAUACUGACGCUGAGGCACGAAAGCGUGGGGAGCAAACAGGG